rfam:Eubacterium biforme DSM 3989 Scfld5 genomic scaffold, whole genome shotgun sequence.
UUAAAUCUUCAGGGUUGGGUGAAAUUCCCUAUCGGCGGUAAACCCCGCGAGCAUUUUGCAGGAACUGGUGAAAUUCCAGUGGCGACAGUAUAGUCUGGAUGGAAGAAGAUGUUU